UGCCAAUCGUUUACGCCCCGUAGCGAACGAAACGCAAAUGUCUUUGUCGCACUAAUAUGGAAGAGUAAUGGAAAGAGAUGGCCGUAUCAUUUGCUACGGCGCAAACGAUUGGCAUCUUGGCUAGGCACCCUGUGCUCAAGACCCUCUAGCAAAAGGCGUGUCUUCUAGGAGUAAAUCCCUUACCAGAAUCUGCAUUUUGUGUCAAUCGCAUUUUUUUUGUAACUACCUAGUGUUUUUUUAAAGCCUUUUAUAUAUAACUCGUACACUCUUAUUUAUCUUUAGGUAUACUACGCUGACUUUGAGCAUCCAAACGUUACGUACUUCAAUUCUAAAUACUUGGAGUAUGCGAAACUCACAGCCCAGAGAUACAGCCGUCGAGAUCCCAUCCACUACAUAAACGUUCACGCAAAAUUGUUAAUUGACUUUGGGAAUGACAUUACAAUGACCUAUAAUGGUUACGAGUUCCUGAGCAACGAAUACCGCCCCGGCAUGUUUGUGAUGACUUUCCGGAUAUGCGAUUUUUUUUCAGAACCUAAAUAUGCCGUAUUUAAGCCUAUUUACAUAAAACAUAUUAACGGCUCAUUAUGCCCUUUUCCAAAGGGAGAGUAUAAGUUUUUAAACCUCUCUAUUCCUCCCGCUCUGAAUUUGCCGCUCCUCUCGACGUUUCCUUAUCAGAAGGGCCGCUUAUUCUUCAGCUUUGUGCGUGGCGGCGAGCGAGUGGCAGAUGGAUACCUUGAUGCAGCCAUCAAACAAAAGUUCAUAUGAAUGUGUAUGAAGAAGCCGGUUAAUAUAAACUUCACACCUUGGCAUGCAAUUUCAAUAUACAUGAUGUCAUGUGACUCCCACAGCUGAGACGUCUGAGGCUAAAUGCAUUUCAAAGUUUUUUUAAGUUUUUUUAUAUUUGCUCUAUAGAAUAAAAGAAGGUUCCAAAUUCAAAA